ensembl:lncRNA
CCACAAAUCAUAGACGCAGUUUUUCGCAGAUUGGUGAACCUCUCUCCCAUCUUUACUUCUGAAAGACUCCUCCUCUCUAAGAUCCACUUUUUAUACCCAGUCAUCUCACUGACCUGUUCGCAAUUAACCUCCAGCCGUUUCUUUUCACUAACACUUAUUUUCCAGACUUUUAUUGCCCCCGUCCCAACUUUUUUGAGACGUGUCGCGGUCAUUGAAUUCAAAAUAGCCUCAUUUUCUCCUUAAAAACGGUACAUUUCCUCAGUUUAAACAUUUAAUAUGUUUUUUAUGUUCUACUGUGAAUAACAUACAGGUUCAUGAGAUUUGCAAAUCAUCGCAUUCUGUUUUUAUUUACAUUUCACCCAGCGUCCCAAUUUUGUUUGGAAUUGGGAUUGAAUGAAUCUUGUCAGCGUUUAGACUGCUUUCUGCAUUGUAACAGUUUCACUAACUCGCCGUCUGAGCCACUUCUUGGUAUGGUUAGUCCUCCAUGCAUGGUGCACUUCUUUCCUAGCGUUUUUUUUACUGAAAUGAGCCUGAAAAAGGUUGGACUUUGGAUCAGGGAGACUCAUCUUUCUGCGUUUUCCUCAGUUCACAGUGGUGCGCACACAUUUCUGAUUUGCCGUAUCUGCAAUACGUGGACGAAUUACGCUUUAUAUUCUUCCAUUCCCUCUUGGAAAUUUUUCCUGGAAGAAAUCACUCUGUACAGUUUAUCUGCACGGGUGUACCCCGCCUUGUGCCGGAUGCUCCCUGGGAUAGGCUCCGGGUUCCCCGUGACCCGGAAAAGGAUAAGCGGUAUAGAAGAUGGAUGGAUGGAUGGAGAUCCUUAAUGUAUCCUCAUCAGUUUCCUUUCUUCGACCUGUGUCAACAUUACAAUAAUGUUUAGCUCAUAGAAUAGCAAUAUAUCCGUUUUUUUUUUUGUGGAAUUGAGUCCAUUGCCAUAAAUAGCUCAAAUAAAAUAAAAAAUCUGUGAUAAACAGCUAAUCAUAGAAUCUCACUUCAGUUCGACUUAAUCUGAACUCACGACAGCUCUUUCUACGCUGUCACAGCCCGCUGCUAUUUUUUACCUCAGUAGUGAAG